rnacentral:pre_miRNA from 1 species
AUAGUACCCCCUCCGUCCGGAAAUACUUGUCCUAGAAAUGGAUAUAAUGAAUGUAUCUAUAACUAANNNAAGUCUAGAUACAUUCAUUUCUAGGACAAGUAUUUCCGGACGGAGGGAGUAUUUU